AGUCGUCAAAGUGCAACACCCAAACGCCGGCACCAGAGCCAGCAGCAGCAGCAGCUCCGGCUCCAACAGCUCAGGAGACAAAAAAAGAAGAAAAAGAUGAAACCCCACCAGGUCCUGAGCCUCUCCAAGCAGCAGCGCCCGCUCCAGAUAAAGAAGAAACGAAGUGUCCUCCUCCACCUAAUCAAGAAGGUCCGACUCCUGAGGCAGAAAAAGU